rnacentral:lncRNA from 1 species
AUUUUAAGUGAUGAAAAAUUUUCAAUUCUGCUUCAAAUUAAAGAAGAAUAUAGGGAAUAAGAAAUAAACAUGAAAAACUAAGUGAGCUUCAAAAGGGCUUCAUAUGUCUUCUCCCUUUCCCUCUAUUUGGCAUGUAUAGCAUAUAGAAAUUUAGUAUCAUAUUCAACCUUCAAUGCACAUAGCUCUCCCUCAUGCUGCACAAGAUUGAUUGGAGUCUUGGUUGCCAAAGAAAUGGAGUAAAAGAAAAGUUCCACUAGAAAAAAUAUAGACUGCUUGGAGUCUUGGUUGCCAAGUGGAAAGAAAGAAAAGUUCCAUCAGAAAAACUCAAUGAAGUCAAGUAGAUAGUUU